AGCAGUCGCCGCGGUAAUACGAAGGGGGCUGGCGUUGCUCGGAAUCACUGGGCGUAAAGGCGCGUAGGCGGCCGAUUAAGUCGGGGGUGAAAGCCUGUGGCUCAACCACAGAAUUGCCUUCGAUACUGGUUGGCUUGAGACCGGAAGAGGACAGCGGAACUGCGAGUGUAGAGGUGAAAUUCGUAGAUAUACGCAAGAACACCAGUGGCGAAGGCGGCUGUCUGGUCCGGUUCUGACGCUGAGGCGCGAAAGCGUGGGGAGCAAACAGGAUUAGAUACCCCUGUAGUCCCUGUCUCUUAUACA
rnacentral:rRNA from 1 species